AAAAAAAUCCCAUAAAUACUAGUUUAACACAUUUUGAUUUCAAGUGUAAUGUAGGUAUUUAAUUUCACUUACUAUUUCAGCCUCUUUUCUCCAGUUAAUAUCCUCUGUUUAUAAAUAAUAAUAAUAAUAAAAAGCAUUAUAAAACUUGCCUCUUUUUUUUUUCUUUUCUUUUUUAACAGGAGCAAGAGAAAAAUGUUGAUACUUACGCAGCUGCUAAUUCUGAGAAGGCUGUGGAAGGGGCUAUUAUGCAAGCCUUGGAAGCAGCUCGUUUUGCGAAGGUUGAGAAGGAUAUUGAAGGAGCUAGUUACGGAGGAGGUGAUGGAAAGAAGGAAUGAUGGUAUGUUUGUGUUAAUGCUCGUGUUCUUAGUUCUUACUGUUGAAGGAGAUAGAUGAAAUGAUCUGUUAAUACUCGUUUUCUUCUCUCUUUUUUUCCAAAAUAUGAAGUUUCCAAACAUAAUAAAACUAAUUUCCCAGUAUUAAUUUUUGGCUUAAAUAUGUUUGAUUUUUUUUUGUUUAAUUGAUAUCAUUACUAUUUCAUUAGAAUACCACCCUAUCAUUUAUUUAUUUUUCAUGUGGAUUGGUUAUAAACAAUCAAAUUUAUUUUUCAUGUCCUCUCUCUCUGUUUUUUUUUUUUUUUUUUUAUGGGUAAGAGUUCUAUCUUUUUGACAAUUAUCAGUUUUUUCAUGUUUUAAGAUUCCUUUCUGCACUGAGAAAUUAUUCUUGCGUUAAUUUUCUACAUUUUUUUAUUUAUUUAAUUUAAAAGGGUAUUACCAUGCUGAUGUGACCAGUGCUUACAUUUAUCUCUUAAAUCUGGCUGUUCUCUUUCGAAUAAAUGGAUUCUAUUUUUUUGUUGCUGACAGACUUGGCAUGGCUGUUUUCAUGCCCUGUUCAUUCAGUUGCCAACCUUCUUUUUUCUUUUUCUUUUUUUUUGUUAUCAUUUUUUAAAUUUCUAAAUGUAUUUUUUGAUGUACAUGCAUAGAUUAUUGACAACCAAUGUAAGGAAUGGGGAAGGACACAAAAAUGUUAUGCAAACAUAUAGUUGGAGAACAAAACAGAAUUCAUAAAAUAAAAUAAAAUUAUAAAAGGGUAAAAUCUGUAGAAAAUCAAGUUUUGUUCUUUCUAUGCUGCUGUUUCCCUCCCUGCUCUCUGGUUUUCCGUCAAAUCUGCUGAGGGUUUUGCCGGCUGGAAGCCUUGAGUUUUGGAUUUUCUAAAUUGGUAGCGGCAGUAAAUGAUGAUCAAGCUCGGAUUGAGGCCUUCUGGUUUCGUUUGCUGCUGUUCUGUCCCUCUUGAUUUUAGCGGGUGGCUUUUCUUGGUGUUAUGAAAGUACUGAUGUCUCUUGUGGUUUAGUCAGCUAUGGAGGUUUGGAUUGCACAUUUCAUAUGGUUUCUUGGACCAUUUAGGACUUGUUUUUCUGUCAGAAACACUUCGUGCAAAAAAAUAAUCAUGAGAACAGAGAACUGGAAGAUUAUGAUUCCCUAAUUGGGAUUAUCCCUUUCAAAUUAUAUUUCUACAGAUCUUUUGAUAACAGGCAAAAGUUCUGUGCAAGUUAUACAAAAGAGAGAGCUAGAGAGUGACUAGAGAAACUCAGCCCCGUUCUUUCUUUCUAGCAAGACACCAACAGAAAAGAGAGAACUACCAAAAGGAAGAAACUAUGUAGUUUUGGGAUACAUGCAUCAUUACAUCCCAAAAAAACAACCUAAUCAACUUCUAAUAUACCAAGAUCACCAUUUGUUUCUAACACUUCCAAGCUGAUGUAGCAGUAAGGGGCCUAUCUUUCCAGCAAAGAACCAACUCAGCCAGCCGUUUAGCCACAUAGAAACCUCUCACUUGCACCUUCCCCAGCAAUGACUCAGCUUGGAAAUCAGCGAACUGACUCAGUUGCACUGGCCUCAUUCCUGCCCCUACAAAUACCUCCCUCCAUCGCAACGCCACUCGCCUUCCGCACCCUUCAACUGCUGCCAAAAUCUUGGGUUUCAGCAGGAAUAUCUCAAUUUUCCUAGCCCAAUCGCCACCAGUAAUAGCUGCUGCAUCCAAGGAAUCAAACAUCAUUGAAUAAAAUUCAAGACAAUCAACGAAGUUCCUCCUAAAAGACGAUCCAGUUCCAGAUUCUGUCCACACUUCACUGUCCACAACUAUGACUACACUUGGUGAAACCCGGCGGACAUCAUUAACAAACGCAGUAACAUUAUUUGUUGAACCUAGACGGCGAAAUAUUGUUGGAGAUAAGAUAACAGCAGUUUUCUCUCCAUCGACAAACUCGAUUGCUUUGAAAGAUAGCAUUUCAAAAGUACGGAAAGGCACAAACUCUAUAUGGAGUCUGAUCUUGAGCUCAUGAGCGAAUUGAGAGAGUCUUUCUUUGAUCAAUUUGGUUUCAAUCACAGUGUCUUCUGUUACAACAGCAGUGAUUCGAAGAAGCGGAGAUGUGAGGUUAUUGCACGAGUCUGCUUUGUCUACAAGUUCCCUCAUUAAAGAAGCAUAGUGGCAGCCAAAUCCAAUAUCAAAGUCUAUGACAUGAAGAAACACUGAAUUUCCAUUAAGGGAAUCAAGAAUAGCUUGGUUGGUGGUGAAGUCAGCGAACAUGGGGAUUGGAGAGAUCCUAAAGAAGGCCUCGUAGGCCUUAAUGGUUUGGACAAUAUUGGACCACGAAGGGAUUACAGGAUUUGUUUGCGGCCGAGUUGAUCCGGUAGCAAGGAGAGACUGGAGAGCGUCUUUGAAGAAAAAAGCUGCUCUUUGGAGUGGUUUACCAAUUGGUGAUUGAAGUCGAUGACUGAGCCGUUCCAAUAUCGCUUGUGCAAGUUGUAGCUCGUUCGUGUCGAAACAAUCUGCUGCUUUGAUAAGCUCUUGAAUGAAAUCAAAACCAGCAUUCCAAUUUCCAAUAUUGUUAUGAAAACUAUGGGACAAAUCAAGAGAAGUCAAAUUGUGAGUUGGGAUAGAAUUAAUGUACAUAUCGUUAAAAUCAGAGUGAAGAAACUGGGUAGCAUCCAUCUGAUGAGAUGCAGUGAACUCAGGAAGGUUAUGGCUUUGGAUUUGAGACUCACUGCAGGUACCGAACUGUGGAAAAUUCUUGAUGAGGACAGGAGCAGAAUCAUCAUGGAAGUCCAAAUCUCUCAUGAUAGAAUCCCAAUCCAAAGUUUGCAAGACAUGAUCAUCCCACUCAAUAGGAUCGUUUGCAGAGGCCGGUUUGCCAGCUCGUGCAGGACUCGGACUCCGACGCAGGUCAAGAACCGAAGUGGGUUCGUAGCACAGGUUUUGAUUGUUGGGGUUAAAGCUGAUGUUUCUGCUGUUACUGUUGGUGGUAUUGCAAGACACUGGUUUUGGGUUUUGAGACUGGUUGUUGCAGCUGCUGUUUUGUGGUGAGGGAACUGGAACUUUCAUAGCUAAGAGCACAAAGGUAAGGAGCCCCUCUGUGUUUGAAACUCCUUCAAUUCUCUUUCUCUGCUUGUUUUGAGUGCUUUAGAAAGUGGGAAAUGGCGAGGGAGAGGGGGCUUUUGGUGGUUAUGAUCACUGGCUUUUUAUCUUUGCUUGUGUGCAUGAGGGGUAUCAAGGCAUGGUGAUCCAUGAGAGACAUGUGUGGCCAUGGCAUGCUAGACACGAGUCAGACCAGUCCUUUUUAUCUCUUCGAAGCUUGUAACUCAAGUCUCUACUUUGCCUUUAGCCUUUUUAGGAUUCGUCGUUUAUUUUCCCACCUCACCUGUUCUGAUAUUGUUCUGGCAGUAGUUUUCUUUCAUGGUGGUGGCACUAAGUUACGGCCACUGCUGCCAGUUUGCAGACCUCAAUUAUUUUGCUUCUGUUAAAGAUGCGGGGCUGGAAAUUAACUAAGUUUAUACUAAUAAAUUAUAUGUAUAAAUAUAUUAAUUCAGUUGCAAACACUAAUUGUGAAUUGACUUCUUUGUUUGUUUUUGCAGAACUCAAGAAUGGCAGAACAAAAUGUGAAGUUGCCACACUCAAACAUGUUGCCUGUCCCAAUUGUUCUUUCUCUUCAAUGAUUUUACAUUAGUUUCCUUCUUGUGAUCUGCCAACCCAGAGAGUGAAAGCAAAGAAGUGAUAAAUAA
rnacentral:lncRNA from 1 species